UACGUAGGGUGCAAGCGUUGUCCGGAAUUAUUGGGCGUAAAGAGCUCGUAGGCGGUCUGUCGCGUCUGCUGUGAAAUCUCAGGGCUUAACCCUGAGCUUGCAGUGGGUACGGGCAGACUAGAGUGCGGUAGGGGAGACUGGAAUUCCUGGUGUAGCGGUGAAAUGCGCAGAUAUCGGGAGGAACACCGGUGGCGAAGGCGGUUCUCUGGGCCUGUGCUGACGCUGAGGAGCGAAAGCGUGGGGAGCGAACAGG
rnacentral:rRNA from 1 species